rnacentral:lncRNA from 1 species
UGGAUUUGGAGAUCCUUUUGCAGGUUUUGGCGGCCUUGGGGGUCACCAGAAUUUAGUAGCUGGCUUUUUUGGAGGAAGAGACCCUUUUGAUGACCCUUUCUUCACUCGCCCAUUUGGUGGAAUGUUUGAGUCCACCUUUGGGCCGACCGGGAAUAUGAAUGCUCAUCAAUCUGGUUUCUCUACCAGGAGUGCUUUGAUGAAUGCACAUCCAUCUGGUUUUGCUAUGGGUGGGAGUCCAUUGAUGAAUGGAUUUCCAUCUGGUUUCUCUGUUGGGAGCCCUUUGAUGAAUGCACCACUUCCAUUUGGUUUCGCUUCUGAGAGUCCUUUGAUGAAUGCACCACAUCCAUCUGGUUUCUUUGAUGGACAAUCUUCCCAAACAAACAGAUCUAGGG